GAAACUGGCAAUCUUCAAGUUUGAGACAGGAGAGUUAAAGGAGGAGCUUGAGCGGAAGAGGCCCACUCUGGCCGGUGAAGAGUGUGUGCGCUGUGUAGGCCGGAUCGCUCCAGAGUUUCUGUCUUGUACAGCGAACAUUAGUCAUCCAGGUUGGUGGAUGAAGAGAACAAGUAGCUCAGGAUCACACUACCUCCGGGAAACCUGCUGAACGCCACACUCCGCUCUGCUCCUAUCUUGCCUGGACUAACUCCCCUCCCCUGUGUUCUCCAUUCUGCCCUGUUGGAGCCAACUGUUGCACCUUUCAAUAAAACCUCUUUGUUACCCCUUCAAA